AGGCAACGACGGGUAGCUGGUCUGAGAGGACGAACAGCCACACUGGGACUGAGACACGGCCCAGACUCCUACGGGAGGCAGCAGCAGGGAAUAUUGCACAAUGGGCGAAAGCCUGAUGCAGCGACGCCGCGUGAGGGAUGAAGGCCUUCGGGUUGUAAACCUCUUUCAGGAGGGAAGAAGCGCAAGUGACGGUACCUCCAGAAGAAGCCCCGGCCAACUACGUGCCAGCAGCCGCGGUAAUACGUAGGGGGCGAGCGUUGUCCGGAUUCAUUGGGCGUAAAGAGCUCGUAGGCGGCUCAGUAAGUCGGCCGUGAAAUUCCAGGGCUCAACUCUGGGAGGCCGGUCGAUACUGCUGUGGCUAGGGUCCGGUAGAGGAGAGCGGAAUUCCCGGUGUAGCGGUGAAAUGCGCAGAUAUCGGGAGGAACACCCGUAGCGAAGGCGGCUCUCUGGGCCGGUACCGACGCUGAGGAGCGAAAGCUAGGGGAGCAAACAGGAUUAGAUACCCUGGUAGUCCUAGCUGUAAACGUUGGGCACUAGGUGUGGCGGAUUGAUUGACGUCUGCCGUGCCGUAGCAAACAGCAUUAAGUG
rnacentral:rRNA from 1 species